AUGAGAAAAAGGAAAAUGAAAGUGCUCAAUAGACAAGUAUCAAAACAUAUAAAUCAUGCACAAGUGGUAGGCGAAAGAAAUGUAAAACUUACUUUGAAACCGAACAAAAAUCAAAAAUUAUGUAUUGAUGUGAUUAUCACUAAAUUGAAGUUUUAUGUGUUGAAAAUAGUUGAAUUAUCCAACAAUUGGUGCCAACCAACAUCAAAUCAUAAUGUUUCACUAAAUUCUAAUCAAACAAGAAUGUGCACCAAAAAAAUUCUAACAAGAAAAUGCACUAAAACUACACCAAAAUCAAGUUUAAAGACUCCCAAAAUUAAGCUAAAACUCUAA